rnacentral:rRNA from 1 species
UACGUAGGGGGCAAGCGUUGUCCGGAUUUAUUGGGCGUAAAGAGCGUGUAGGCGGCUAGGUAGGUCCGUUGUGAAAACUCGAGGCUCAACCUCGAGACGUCGAUGGAAACCAUCUAGCUAGAGUCCGGAAGAGGAGAGUGGAAUUCCUGGUGUAGCGGUGAAAUGCGCAGAUAUCAGGAAGAACACCCGUGGCGAAGGCGGCUCUCUGGUACGUGACUGACGCUGAGACGCGAAAAGCGUGGGGGAGCGA